UGGUAUUGACCUUGGUUAUGAAAAUGUAUGUCUGGGAUUAACAUGAUGAGAAAUGAGCAAAACAGUUGCUGUUUAGUUGUAAUUGCAACUAAAUCUAGUCCCACACUGGACUAAAUAUUGUGAAUGAUAAAGAAUCAUGGUUGAGUCCUAUGGUUAAGAUCAGAUCUCAGAGCAUAUGUCGGGUAUUCAGUAAAAAUAUUUGAAAAUGUAAUCUCUUUGGAACUCAUUGAACUUUUAUUUGGUAAUAUGAAUUAUUGACAAUUUUUUGUUCAUAGAAACCCUGUAACGACAUGUUUCAAUAAUUAUUGAAGUGGGUGACAUGUUACUGUAUCCUUCCCCAAAAUUAAGGAAAUCAUAGUAGAAAUAGCUGUCUGUAAAUGGUUUUACUCAUGAUGUUUUUUAACCUGGUUUUAUUUAUAGAUUUAUUUUAGAUCAGUGUUUGAUGCAAAAUGUGCUUGUUUUUUAAAAUAUAAGUGUAGGACAGGUGAUUCUAUCAUUCUUUAGAGGGCAAAAUCAUUGUAUGAUGGAGAGAGAAAAAUCUACAUGUAGUUCAGGGCCAUUUCUGUGAAAGCAGAAGCGAAGCCAUUGCCACAUCGGUCCUCUUUUUUACACUUGCGACAGAGGAAGAACUAGGUGCUGACAUUUUCAUACAUAAUGCUAUCACUAACUAUCUAGCUUUAUUUUGACAGGAAGUCAAUGCUGAGACCACGAUCUCUUUUCCAGAUGAACCCACAAAAUAUAAUGAAGACAUUACACGACACAUUCAUAUAAACAUUAAAAUACAUGUUAUGCACAAUACACAACAAGCAGUAAAAAGGUCCCCUAGCAACUGUCUGAAAUGCCCUAGAGGCACCAAUUCUUUCCAUUUUAAAGUGUAUUUUCGAUCAUUCCACAUAAGGUGCAAAACGACCUAAAGGAAGAUCUACCUAACUCAGUGGAGAUUGAAGAGGUUUCCAGACAUAGCCAUCCCUGAGCAUCUAUAACUUAACAAUGGGUUACGGUAUGGUGGAAGUUUAUGCAAGAGCAUAAUGCACUGAUCUACAAGCGGCCCUGGGUGAGUCUCAGAUCUGCUAUAUCCUGGACGGUAUCUUGUUUCUGUACGGUAUCAUCCUCACCGUGCUCUACUGCAGGCUCAAGAUGGUUCCGGUGACUGGCGCUGGGACAGAAAAGCCACCGAAAGCGGAGGAGGGUAUCUAUACGGGUCUAACCCCUCAUGCUGCGGAUACCUAUGAGACCAUCGGUCAGAAGAAAAGAUUGAAGUAGCAGAGGGUGAAGAGUUGAAGAAGUCAUCUGUCAAAUCACUUUUGUCUCCAAGAAUUUCCCAGGCCUCUUACGUAUUUUAUUUAACAUAGCUUUUAACGGUUUGAGAGAAAAUGUAUAAAUUUUUGAACAUUUACUUGCGUAUGUGUGAACCUCCUUUGUAUGUGUCGUAAGAGAGAGAAAUGUGAGAAGAUUAAAGGGGAAGUUGAGCUGUGGGUAAAAAUGCCCCACUUUUGACAGUGUAUGUCUUCUUUGUAUGCUACUUAUACUAAAGUUUCUUAGAUUUAGCUUGAGAUUGAUGUUUUUGGUGUUUUCAAAUAUUUUUCCAUGUAGAUCAAUAUACAGUUUUAGCAAAUAAUAUACCCCUUUUUUACUCGAGAUUUGUGUUCUGGGUGUACUUUAGGUAUUUUCUAAUAUUUUUCUAUAUAGAUCAAUAUAUAGUUUUAGCAAAUAAUAUACCCCUUUUUUACUCGAGAUUUGUGUUCUGGGUGUACUUGAGGUAUUUUCUAAUAGUUUUCCAUAUAGAUCAAUAUACAGUUUUAGCAAAUAAUAUACCCCUUUUUUACUCUUGAGACUUGUGUUCUGGGUGUACUUUAGGUAUUUUCAAAGCUUCUAUGGUGCUUUUAUAAUACAUUCUAAUAAAAUAUCAAAAUGA